CCGCCGUUGAAGGUGCUCACUCACCAUGGCCUACAUCGAGCACGAGCAUUGAAGAGAGUUCCAAAAAUUGGCCCCGCCGUGAAGAAGAUUGUCCUCAGAACACUGAAAAUGCUCUUCUGGGGUCUGCUUCUCCAGGGUGGAUAUUCUCACGCUCCAGAAGUCCGGAUGACCUCUCUUUCGGAGUGGACAUGAAGAAGAUUAGAUGGUGUGGCAUCCUACAGGUUCAGUACACCCGACAAAAAGAAGAAAAAUUGCCACCUCCUUUUCAUCUAUCUAGGUUAGGUGGUCUCAUCGUGUAUGUCAUAUACAUGAUCACAACAUGUAUAUGUCCCGGAUUGGAGCUUUCUUUACCACAAUGAUGGUGUUGUUAAUGACGGGAAGCAAUUUAUGGUACAAUGUGGUGUGAGGAGCCACCUGGACCAGGCUUGCAAUGCAGUUGGAUAUGUUGAUAAGCAGGUUUGGGGGAUUAAUCAUCUCUAUACGCAACCGGUUUGAAUCCGAUCAAAGGAUUGCACUUUUAGCUCGCCGAAUACAGGUCCUCUGCGAGCAGAUGCACCAACAUGGUGUCUUGCACCUUUCAAACCAGAAGGCUUAUUAAGUUCAAUAUCAUCGAUUCUAUUAGGGACAAUCGGAAUUCAUUAUGGCCAUAUUCUAAUCCAUUUUGAACUUGAUUGGAGCUUUUGUUCUUUGCAAAGUUAUAUGACGUUUAAAGAGUAACAAUGAACCGCCGUCAUCAUAUCCGAGGCCUCCUUGAGUUCGGCUAACGUCACAAAAGAUCGCGAAUCUUGAGGCUUGUCAAAUUGUGGCGAGGGUUGCAGCUCAUUGCCCAAGCAGACGUGGUUUGCCGAUCUCAACGGUGAGGCUGCUAGUUAAGGAAAGGCAGUCACGGUUAAUGCCGAGGCAAGUCUGUUUCCCUUAUCCCGAAUUUCUUUUGGCCUUUUUCCUUCUUUUCCCCCUCUGGCUUGCUUUUAUCUCAUUGCCAUGAUACCUAAGGCAAUUUCUAUAAUCUCUCUUUAACUGUUUUUCUUUUAAGUCUAAGAAUACGGCUCCCAAAAAUUAUCAAUCCAGAAACCGCUGUUGGUAAUCGUACCCUACCCCAAAGUCUCAUGGUGAUAUUCCUGCAAGGAAACUAGCACAUACAGUACUUGAAGACAGCUUGAUAAAGCUGGAUAGCAUGCCUUGCAAAAAUCUUAGAAUUAUCAGAUGGGAACUUGGGACGGCUGCAAUACUUUCUGAAAAAGGAUUCUCCAGUAUCUGAGAAUGGUAAGGGGAAUGCAACAAAUGGUGACAAAAAGUCAGCUGUCAAAGGUCUUGGAAAGCAUUUUGAACAGUUAAGGAAGAUUAAAAAGAAAGAAUGCAAUAUUGAAGGUUCCAGCUCUGAGAAGGAAGAACCUAACUGUUUGCCGAUGAAUGGUAUGCAAGAAUCGGAUAAAAUAGCAGUUGGUGAAACAAAUAAGGAGGCUGAUAUAAGCAAGCUAAUGUCUGAGGAUGCUUUCUUUCGCCUGAAGAGUUUGAGAGCUGGCCUUCAUGAAAAGGUGAUUUAAAUUUGCAGGUUCACUCUCUUAGAAUUCUCUUUUAAGAUGGCUAGAACUAUGCUUGUGGUCGGCUUGUAAAUUCUCUCUAAAAUGCUUGUACGUAAACCUCCUUUUCUAUUGCUAAUAUAUAGAACAGUAGGUGCCUCCCCUACUGUAGUAUCCUCUACUAUAGUUCGUAAAAACAAAUAUGCAAGUUCACAGGAUUAUUUUAGAGUUUCUGAACACGAUUAAUUGAUAUCUUCUGUUAUAUAGAGUUUAACUUA